CUUAACUUUUUCUGUCUGACUUAUUUCACUUCGCAUGAUAUUCUCAGGGUUCAUUCAUAUUGUUGCAAAUGGCAGUAUUUCAUCUUUUCUUAUGGCUGAGUAGUACCCCGUUGUUUAUCUGUACCAAUCAUCUAUGGAAGGACGCUUAGUUGUUUCCACGUCUUGGCCACUGUGAAUAACGCUGCAGUGAACACAGGGGUGUGUAUGUUUUCCGUAGUGGCUCUACCAGCUAACAUUCCCACCAGCAGUGAGGGAGGGCCCUGUUGUCUUCACAAUCUGUCCAACAUCUGUUAUCACUUGUCUUGUUGAUAGCAGACAGUGUAAUGGGUGUGAGAUGGUAUUUCAUUGCACUUUUGAUUUGCAUUUCCCUAAUAGCUAGUGAAGUUGAUCAUCUUUUCAUGCGUCUGUUUGCUAUUUAUAUACUUCUUGGGAGAGGUGUCUGUGACCCUUCUCUGACCAUUUUUUAAUUGGGUUGUUUGUUUGAUAUUGAGUUGUAUGAAUUCUUUAUAUAUUUUGAAUGUUAACUCUUUGUCAGAGCUGUUGCUUGCAAUUAUCUUCUCCCAAUCGGUUGGUUGCCUUUUUGUUUUGUUGAUGGUUUCUUUCUCUGUGCAGAAGCUUUUAAAUUUGACAUAGUCCCUUUACAGCAUGGUAUGGGCAGAAAUAUAGACACACAGACCAAUGGAGUAGAAUUGAGAGCCCAGAGUUUACUUUUCACAGUGUGCCUGGGAAAGUCCUGUAAGCUCUCUGCAUCUGAUCACUUUAGAUGUUAACUUGGAACGGCCACCUUCCUGGGAUUGUACCAAAUCACAUAAUGUGUUUAAAAGUACUAUGUAAACUAGAAUAUGCCAUAUUAUUUAUAGACUGUUAUUUAUGUAAAAUCUUAUGUGAGCAACAUGAUGUUUUCCUCUGUCCCGUGGUUUUUCUGUAAACAUUAUCUUGUGGUGGCAUGUGCCGAUCUCAUGAAAUCUUAGCUAACAGUGAUUGCCCUCAGACACAGGAAAAGACUUGGGUAUCAUUUAGAUCACUCCAAAUAAUAAAAUUUAAGUGACCAAAAUACAUUAAAUUCAAGUAAUAAUAAGUGUAAAUUAAAUUCCAAAACUUGAUAAAUAUCCAAUACUAUUUUCUCUUGAAAUCUUAUGCUCUUGCCUGUUUAUUUGUAGUGACUUAGAUGACAUCUUUGUUGAGUUAAAUGUAAAUGUAAGCAUUAACCUCUGGCUUGAAAACUUCUGUGCAUGUUUAGAGUUGAAUGUGCUAAGGGGUAGCACACUCUGAAUGACAACUGUGUGUUUCCUUAGAAAGACCACCCACUUUCACAGGAUGGGAAGUGAGACAAUGAAAAUGUGGAACACUUGCCCUCAGUGGGUUACUGCCCACAAACCCACCUGAGGGCUAGGGACAAGGAAAUGGGGGCUCAGAGAUUCGAAGCGUUCCCACUGUCACAGAGCGCCAGCAUCGGCUGGGGAUGAAGCUUGUGUUUGAACCUGCUCUGCCUCCCACGAACUAUCAGCCACAUGCCUGCGACACUUAAAAAAAUCUACAAAUGUAAAUGUGACUGUUUUCCAUGAUCAUCUUUCUUUUCUUUCUUCUUUUUUUUUAAAGGUUGGUUUAUAUUGAUUGUAAUGGAAAAGAAAGAUUGAGAUUUUUUAAAUAGAGCCUCUACUUUCAUGUUAAUUUUGUGGUGAGAUAACAUAAUUGGUCUUCACAUUCUUACAACAUAACGAUUUGAACAACCACCAGGGUUUGUCGACUAAAAUCAAACCACAACCUUCAGGGAGUUGUGAGUAAAGAGGACAAGACUGGGAAACAGCUGAUAUUUGAAGGAGCCAUUAUACAAUGAGGACUACAUCCCAAAGACCCAAAGACGUGUAAUGCUGCGUGCGGUGUGUCAGCGAGUGGAUCACCCACAUAACCCAUGCGAGCCCCGCCUUCCUUCAGGAUGGUAGAAUUUAUGUGUCAGGCGGGUCAGUGAGGGCAUUAAAAUAAACUGUGGGAGAUGACAGUUGUGGUCUUUUUGUGUCACUUGUAUUUGCAUUUUAAAAAUAAUAGCUGCCUCUUGGUAAAUUAUAUAACUAAUAUGCAGUAGGAAAUACUGAAAAACAGAAGCAAAAAAUAGCAGGAGUCCAUCAUUUUCCCCUCUACCAAGGUAACUAACUGCUGGGAACAUUUUGGUGUGCUCAAUUCCUCAUAAAGAUGGACUCAUACUAAGAAGCUGUUCUGCAGCUAGCUUUUUACACUCAACAAUGUAUCUUUCCAUGUAGAUAAAUCUACUUCCGCAGUAUAAUGAUGUAACAUUGUCUAGUCUCUCUAUUGUGUUUCUAGGAAGUUCUCAUAGUUAAAACAGUCAGAACACAUUUCCAUUUCUGUUUUUAAAACCCUGACAGAGUGCAAGUGCAAAUGAACACUGAAGGUCAGAGGCAACCGGCUUUGCAAAUCCACCUCCAGACCCUUCUUCCAGUUCGAGAAGCGGAAUUCAUCUCAUCACCCACAAGAUCUCAAGCAUGCUUCAAAAGUCCGUGUGAUAAAGAGAAAUAAAGAGCAAUAGUUAUUAUAUCCCAUGUCUGAGUCGGUUUCUCAUGGAUCAGAAAUAAAGGCUAACCGCAGUUGCAGUGUUUGUUACUAUCUGGAAAGUGUUUGCAGUUAAGUGUCUGAAACCUUUUCUCUUGUCAUUUAGAAACAAAUUUAAAAAAAAAAGAAACAAGAAAUUAUAGUCAGAAAAAUAAAGUGAUUGGCUAUUUCAAACACAAAAUGCAGUCAUUCUAAACACCUGGGUUGUGAAAGCAGUAAUUUCAUAAUUAAUACAUAAAUGCCCUCUGUAUGUAAUGCAUUCCAAUCCUUAAACCAAAACAAUAAACAUACCAUUUAAACAUGCAUUUAACAAUGUAUGCUUUUCUCGCUUAACUUAAACAGGAGUGCUUAUUUGUUAAAUGGAAGAAAGAGGAUUAUCACUUAACCAAACUUCAUUUACUACAUUGUGGGACUUGUCUACGCAGGUAGUUUUCAGAAUGUGGCCCUCCAUGAGCCUCACCUGGGAACUUGUAAUAAAUGCAAGUUCUCAGGCCCCACCCUAGACCUUCUGUAUCACAUUGUGGGGCCUACUGAUUUUGGUUUUAACAAGCCCUCCAGGUGUUCCAGAGGAACACUCAGGUGUGACCUCUACUUUGCCUUCGCUCUGCAGGCGUGCCCAGGAUAAGCCCCUACUUUCUAGAAGGCCGCACUUUCAGCAGGCCUGGUCCCCUGUCCCCAAGGCUCCAGUUGAAUAUUUACCAGGAAUCAGUUCAGUUUUUUCCAAAACCUAUUAAUGCUAUUUACACUGACUAUUAUAGUUAAUUUUGAAUAGCUUUAUAAAAAAUGGUCUAUAAAGGAAUAAACAAAAUUAUUUUUGAUAUCUUUUAAGGUCCUACACAUAAAAUGUACAAAUUUCACUGUCCAAUUAAGGAAACUUAAAAUUACAACUGUUGAUAAUGAAUUGUGGGUGUGGUUUAGGUAGGAAUUUUAUUCAUGCAUUGGUAUUACAUCAAAGUAUUUUCAAAUGAAAGUCUAAGAA